GCCGGCGUAGCUCAGCGGUAGAGCGGUGGUUUCGUAAGCCUCAGGUCUCGUGUUCAAAUCACGACGUUGGCU
rnacentral:tRNA from 1 species